GGCAGGAGAGAAGGAAGAAGGAAGAAUGGAGGCCAGGGCGGCUUCGAGGCCUUGAAUCCUGGGCCUUGAUUCCCCUUGCUCUCCGUGACCCACGCUCUCUGGGGGCCAGGCGGCCUGGUGACAGAAGUCGCGAAGCAGCUGAAGGUGAGCCCCGGCUCUCUAACCCGGUCACCAAGACCUCUCUGACUUGUGCAUACACUUCUGCCCCAGGUGCCGACCAUCCUCCGGUUCCCACUCUUCCCUGUCUCCCUUAAUACAAGGGAUGGGACACGGGUGAGGUGGCAUGUGGGCACAGCCAGUGGGCUCCUUUCUCUGCCCACUCAGUGAGGGCAGCAUCGAGGAGGAAGGAGGCGCCUGGUCUGCGGGGUGGGGGCGGGGGCAGGGCUGUGGGAGUGAAGCCCACCUCCAGAGGGCAAGCCCUGGCUGAGAAGUGCGGGCAGCCUGGGCAGGUGACAUGAUCCGCUGGGCGGGGGUUUGAGCACGUAAGCCCUCUGGUGAGAUCGAGUGGUCUCUCCAUAGUUGCGUGGAGCCUUAUUACCAAGGAAGCAGCUCCUGUUGGGAUCAUCAGAUUUUUGGUCUAGCUCAGCAAAGCCACAGCUGCUCCGGCCUUAGAAAAGGAGAUGUUGGUAAACAAAGGGGAGAUGCGGUUUAGGAGGGCGGGGCGGGGAGUGCAGCUGGGCCCGGACCCCAAGGCCCGCGGUUCCCACCCUGGUCCUGUUUUGGAUCCGGCUCUGCGGGCUUACAGGGUGAGAGCAGCUGGCCUGGCUCUCCCUACCUGCCCCCGCCGGCGUCCUCGCGCCCCCUGCUGGCAGAGACGGAGAAGAACCCGGGAGUGCGCGGUGUGCGCGUGCGCAUGUUUGCUUCCCCAUGCGUGCCUUCCCGGCCACACUCAAACACCUCACUCAAACAAACACCGGGAGGCUUUGACUUCAGCUUCAGUAAUAAAAAUUUAUUGAGAA